UCCAGACUCCUACGGGAGGCAGCAGUGAGGAAUAUUGGUCAAUGGCCGCAGGGCUGAACCAGCCAAGUCGCGUGAGGGAUGGCGGUCCUAUGGAUUGUAAACCUCUUUUGUCAGGGAGCAAAGGGCGCCACGUGUGGCGUUUUGCGAGUACCUGAAGAAAAAGCAUCGGCUAACUCCGUGCCAGCAGCCGCGGUAAUACGGAGGAUGCGAGCGUUAUCCGGAUUUAUUGGGUUUAAAGGGUGCGUAGGCAGACUGGAAAGUCAGCGGUAAAAUCGAGAGGCUCAACCUCUUUCCGCCGUUGAAACUGUCGGUCUUGAGUGGGCGAGAAGUAUGCGGAAUGCGCGGUGUAGCGGUGAAAUGCAUAGAUAUCGCGCAGAACUCCGAUUGCGAAGGCAGCAUGCCGGCUCCACACUGACGCUGAGGCACGAAAGCGUGGGUAUCGAACAGGAUUAGAUACCCUGGUACA
rnacentral:rRNA from 1 species